GCAUAAAUCACUUGGGGAUCUUGUUAAAAUGUAUAUUCCGACUCAGUAAUCCAGGAUGGGCCUCCAGAGUCUGCAUUUCUAAUAAGCUCCCAGGUGAUGCUGAG
rnacentral:pre_miRNA from 1 species